UUUAAGCCUCAGUAGAAGCGAUAUUGACUCGUUAGGUUUUAGUAGGUUGAGAAAGUAUAUAUGAACAGAUACUACAUUGUAAUAGAGUCAGUAGCAUUCAAA